UACGUAGGGGGCAAGCGUUGUUCGGAUUUAUUGGGCGUAAAGAGCUCGUAGGCGGUUUGGUAAGUCAGGUGUGAAAUCUCCACGCUCAACGUGGAGGGGCCACCUGAUACUGCCAUGACUGGAGUCCGGUAGAGGAGUGUGGAAUUCCCGGUGUAGCGGUGAAAUGCGUAGAUAUCUGGAGGAACACCGGUGGCGAAGGCGGCAUCCUGGACCGGUAUUGACGCUGAGGCGCGAAAGCUAGGGGAGCAAACGGG
rnacentral:rRNA from 1 species